AACGAACGCUGGCGGCAGGCUUAACACAUGCAAGUCGAGCGAAUGGAUUAAGAGCUUGCUCUUAUGAAGUUAGCGGCGGACGGGUGAGUAACACGUGGGUAACCUGCCCAUAAGACUGGGAUAACUCCGGGAAACCGGGGCUAAUACCGGAUAACAUUUUGAACCGCAUGGUUCGAAAUUGAAAGGCGGCUUCGGCUGUCACUUAUGGAUGGACCCGCGUCGCAUUAGCUAGUUGGUGAGGUAACGGCUCACCAAGGCAACGAUGCGUAGCCGACCUGGGAGGGUGAUCGGCCACACUGGGACUGAGACACGGCCCAGACUCCUACGGGAGGCAGCAGUAGGGAAUCUUCCGCAAUGGACGAAAGUCUGACGGAGCAACGCCGCGUGAGUGAUGAAGGCUUUCGGGUCGUAAAACUCUGUUGUUAGGGAAGAACAAGUGCUAGUUGAAUAAGCUGGCACCUUGACGGUACCUAACCAGAAAGCCACGGCUAACUACGUGCCAGCCGCCGCGGUAA
rnacentral:rRNA from 1 species